GAUAAACGCUGGCGGCGUGCCUGAGACAUGCAAGUCGAACGAAGGAUCGGGCUUGCUCGAUCCUUAGUGGCGGACGGCUGAGUAACGCGUAGGUGGCCUACCCCGAAGUGGGGAAUAACUGCCCGAAAGGGUGGCUAAUACCGCAUGUGGUCGCACGUUCAUUCGUGCGAGUAAAGCCGCAAGGCGCUUCGGGAGGGGCCUGCGUCCGAUUAGCUCGUUGGUGGGGUAAUGGCUUACCAAGGCGACGAUCGGUAGGUGGUCUGAGAGGACGAUCACCCAGACUGGGACUGAGACACGGCCCAGACUCCUACGGGAGGCAGCAGUCGGGAAUUUUGCUCAAUGGGGGAAACCCUGAAGCAGCAACGCCGCGUGAGGGAUGAAGGCCUUCGGGUUGUAAACCUCUUUUGUCAGGGACGAUGAUGACGGUACCUGGCGAAUAAGCCACGGCUAACUACGUG
rnacentral:rRNA from 1 species